AAAAAAAAAAAAAAAAAAAAAGGGGGGGCCAAAGAGACCGCAAGUCACAGGACAAUACAAAUGGCUGGAAGAAUCAUGACUUGACUCGGCAUAGCGAAACGCCAACCUGAGAUUCCGGGUGAAGGCGGUUUAUAGCAGUGCGCUGAAUCGCAUGCUGUCACCACCGUUGCACGAAUCCACUGCGUAGACUAGCAAGAAAUUGCGAGGGGAGUGAGUGCGUAGAUUACCAAGCCUGCUCCUGAUAGAAAUUUCGUCACCAGGAGAAAUAACGGGGUAUCGCUGCCAUAAAGGACCAAGAUCGUAAUAGAUUCAAGGAAAUAAAACGCGUUGCUGAAGUUUGUAGAAACGGAACGGUUCAUUUCCCCAAUCAUUGCAACACCUUUAACAGACAUUUUUGAGUAACAGCAUAGCCAGCAGUUGUUGCUUCCGAGUGUACAGUGACAUCUGCCUGAGGCAGUAGGACCUGUGACAUCGUAACAGUCAGAAGGCUCCAGCAGAUGAGAAUCCAGCUGUCUGCUAUCAAGUCUGGCACUGAAGAGAUUUGCAGAGAUGUAGAGUGAUGCUACCAGGUAGCCACAGCUGCUGUGUGUCCAUGAUUGCAUGCCAUGUCCAGAAGACGAUGUUUCAUGUCGCACCUCCCCACCCUACCAUCAGCCCUACGUCUUACGCAGUAACUCAGCUGUCCCCGUACAGGUCUUUCCCAUGCCUCCAUGUCUCCAUGGCUGUACCUGUGUUCCUGAUCACCUUUGUGUCUCCCUAACAUACUCCCGGACCUGAGUGGGAUUCUGAUGAACUCAGCACUUUGCGGCCUCGGGGGUCUUUUCAAGAGGAAAGUCGGAGGGCAUCACCUCCUUGCUUGAAACUGGCCAGUGCCUGUUAGGAUGAAGACCACGCCCCCUCUGCAUCCACCCGACGUUCCAGUAGGCUGCCAACCAUCCCUCUGUUCCUGCUUCCCUGGCAUCAGCUUAUUUUGCCUCCUUAAGCCCCAGUGGAAUGGGUAGCCAUCCCACCAGUUCUGCCCCAGCCAGUAAAGUACUUACUUCACAAGCAUGAGACCCUGAAUUCAAUCUCCAACAUCCAUGUUAAUAACAAACAAUCGAGCAAAAGCAGGGUGGUGCCAUGCUCCUGUAAUCCCAAUGCUGGAGAAUUGGAACAGUGGGGCCCCUUGGUCAGGCCAGUGAGAGACCCUGUCUCAAAAAAAAAAAAUGGUGACCAAUGAUGGCACUGAGAAUAACAACUGAGUUUGUCCUUUGGCUUCCAUGAGCACCCAAGGGCACCCCCAGCUCCACCACCCCUAUGCACACAGAGAGAUCAUAUCUUGGAGGAGAUAAUGUGUCCAGAGUCCUAGCAGAGGAAUCUCCCUAAGCCUGUUUUGUAAGCCUAGUUCAAAGUUUCCCGAAUUCCAGGCACUAUGCUUGGGCAACAGGAAUUUGCAAAACAAGGUCUCUGUUGUCCACAUCCAGCAAUUCCACUCUGGACAGACACCCAAAAGCAAUGAAAGCAGGGGUCCUGAAGAAAUGUUCUUAUGCUUAUGUUCGUAGAAGUAUUAUACGCUAAUUGAGGGGCAAAAGAUACCCAAGUGUCCGUCAGUACAUGAACAAAUAAACAAAAUGUGGCAUGCUCAUACAGUGGGAUACUACUCAGUCACAAAAAGGAAGGAAAUGCUAAGACAUGCUCUGUGUGUGAGUAAAAGGCCAGAUACCAAAAAAGACAAACACUGUGUGAUUCUAGUUAUUUCUGACAGUUAAAUCUGUGGAUCUAGAAAUAAAGAUGGCGGUUCCAGGCA